rnacentral:rRNA from 1 species
UUGCUUUCCUUUUCAAUAGCGUAGGAAAAGGAAACUAACAAGGAUUCCCUUAGUAACGGCGAGUGAAGCGGGAAGAGCUCAAAUUUGAAAUCUUCAAGGUUUUACCUUGACGAAUUGUAGUUUAAAGAAGUGUUUUCUGUUGAAGUUUUGGUAAAAGUUCUUUGGAAUAGGACAUCAUAGAGGGUGAGAAUCCCGUAUUUGACCAUUAUUUUCAGCUGUGUGAUACACUUUCAAAGAGUCGGAUUGUUUGGGAAUGCAGUCCAAAAUGGGUGGUAAAUUUCAUCUAAAGCUAAAUAUUGGCGAGAGACCGAUAGCGAACAAGUACCGUGAGGGAAAGAUGAAAAGAACUUUGAAAAGAGAGUUAAACAGUACGUGAAAUUGUCAAAAGGGAAGCGUUUGACACCAGUGUUGUUUUCUCGAAAAUCAAUUAAAAAGAGUUGGAUUUUGUGUUGUAUUGACCUUAACAGCUUGCUUCACUCUUUUCCUGCUUUUUUUAAUGCACUUUUCGUUUAACAAGUCAACAUCAGUUUCUUUUGUUGUAAAAGGGUCAUUGGAAGGUGGCUUUCUCUUCGGAGAAAGUGUUUAUAGCCUUUGAUCUCUGCAAUCGGAGAGACUGAGGUCUGCAGCGUAGAUCCUUCGGGGUUAGAUACAUUUGUGCUAAGCUACAGCUUUUCAUAGACAACUUGUUGACUAUGUUUAGUCUUGUGACUUACCCGCUUAUGCUAUUUUACCUACGCUUAGGAUGUUGACAAAAUGGUUUUAAACGACCCGUCUUGAAAAAAAGGANACCA